rnacentral:rRNA from 1 species
UACGGAGGGUGCAAGCGUUAUCCGGAUUCACUGGGUUUAAAGGGUGCGUAGGUGGGUUUGAAAGUCAGUGGUGAAAUCUCCGGGCUCAACCCGGAAACUGCCAUUGAUACUACAGGUCUUGAAUUUUCUGGAGGAUAGCGGAAUAUGUCAUGUGGCGGUGAAAUGCUUAGAUAUGACAUAGAACACCAAUUGCGAAGGCAGCUGGCUACACAAAUAUUGACACUGAGGCACGAAAGCGUGGGGAUCAAACAGG